CUCUAUCCCAAAACGUGAAGAAGUGUGGGUCUUAAAGUCACUAGGAAAGAAAUGGAAAGAUUACAAGUGCGAGUUAAAGGGUGAAUAUACGCCAAAAUAUAAGACUAAAGACGCAUUACUGAAAAAUAGACCAAGUCGCAUACCAAGGGAUCAAUGGAGUGGUCUUGUAUCUUAUUAGCUUUCUGAUAAAGCUAUGAGACGUACCCAAGCAAACGAUGCCUCACAUAGGAGGAUCCAAAAGUAUUGUUACCUUGAUGAAUGCGUAGGCUGUAAAUGGGAUUGAGCCUACACGAGCAGAAAUUUUCUUAUUAACUCAUAAAAAACGUAAGGAUGGUUGGCCACUGGAUGAUGAUUUUGUCAAGACAAU